UAGUCCACGCCGUAAACGAUGAUUACUGGUUGUAGGCGAUACAUUGUCUGUGACUGAGCGAAAGUAUUAAGUAAUCCACCUGGGGAGUACGUCGGCAACGAUGAAACUCAAAGGAAUUGACGGGGGCCCGCACAAGCGGAGGAACAUGUGGUUUAAUUCGAUGAUACGCGAGGAACCUUACCUGGACUUAAAUGUAGAUUGCAUAGAGUGGAGACAUUCUUUUCUUCGGACUAUCUACAAGGUGCUGCAUGGUUGUCGUCAGCUCGUGCCGUGAGGUGUCGGGUUAAGUCCCAUAACGAGCGCAACCCCUAUCGUUAGUUGCUAGCAGGUAAUGCUGAGAACUCUAGCGAGACUGCCACCGUAAGGUGUGAGGAAGGUGGGGAUGACGUCAAAUCAGCACGGCCCUUACGUCCAGGGCUACACACGUGUUACAAUGGCAGGUACAAAGGGCAGCUACAUAGCGAUAUGAUGCUAAUCUCAAAAACCUGUCUCAGUUCGG
rnacentral:rRNA from 1 species